UCCGGUUUGUCACCGGCAGUCUCACUAGAGUGCCCGUUACCGUAGCAACUAGUGACAAGGGUUGCGCUCGUUGCGGGACUUAACCCAACAUCUCACGACACGAGCUGACGACAACCAUGCACCACCUGUCACUCUGUCCCCGAAGGGAAAGUCCUAUCUCUAGGAUUGUCAGAGGAUGUCAAGACCUGGUAAGGUUCUUCGCGUUGCUUCGAAUUAAACCACAUGCUCCACCGCUUGUGCGGGCCCCCGUCAAUUCCUUUGAGUUUCAGUCUUGCGACCGUACUCCCCAGGCGGAGUGCUUAAUGCGUUAGCUGCAGCACUGAAGGGCGGAAACCCUCCAACACUUAGCACUCAUCGUUUACGGCGUGGACUAC
rnacentral:misc_RNA from 1 species